rnacentral:rRNA from 1 species
GACGGAGGAUGCAAGUGUUAUCCGGAAUCACUGGGCGUAAAGCGUCUGUAGGUGGUUUAAAAAGUCUAUUGUUAAAAAUUGAAGCUUAACUUCAAAGAUGCAAUGGAAACUUUUAAACUUGAGUAUGGUAGGGGUAGAGGAAUUUCCAGUGGAGCGGUGAAAUGCGUAGAUAUUGGAAAGACCACCAAUGGCGAAGGCACUCUACUGGGCCAUUACUGACACUGAGAGACGAAAGCUAGGGGAGCAAAUGGG